rnacentral:misc_RNA from 1 species
AACAUUGUUUUAACCCUUCCCAACUACAAAACAAAACCUGUUCAAGACCUUUUUAAUGCAAGUCUUACUGUACGGCAAUUAUAACUAACAACACGCAAUAGAUAAGUAUUAAGAAUCAAGUCUUGCUUGUAUAUUGUUGUUAUGUCUAGAUUGAAAAUCGAGUCCUUUUCAAUCAGUGCUUGUGAUUACAAGUAAAACAGAAACUGGUCAAGUGAUAAAGGGUCGCUUUAUACAAUAUAUUGGGAUGGAUAAGACUAGUUGUUUUAUGGACUAACCCAGAAUUUCCAGAGUUAAUAUGAAAUUGUUAGUACUAUUUCAUGUACAUCACAUAACUGUUAAACAUGUCAAUGUAAAACGAUAUAUGUAAAAACACAAAUACAGUCCGCUUGUUUUAAAACAAUAUUGAUGUAAUUUUUAAUUAUUAAAGGUUCACAUGCUUACCAAUUGCUAUUUCACAUCCGUUUCUGCACAAGAGUGCCUUUUCAGUUGGUGGUUGUGACUUGAAAUUAUGAUCAAUGUUGCUCUACUUUUUCACAAUUAAUAUGUUAAUUAGACUGCAUAACCUGGAAGCUUGACUCAAUUGCCUAUGUGAUAUAUUUGUACAACUGUUAAACCACAAUUAAACUCUUAUUGCAUAAUCUGUUUCUGACAGCAUAAUUUUCUGUGCAAUUGUUUUCCACAUAUUAUUUUUUUUCUUUUCUCGCUGUAGUUUUUGUCAAAAUUGAUUACAAUGGAUUCUUUGUUUUGUUAUAGUUAUAAUUUUCCCACAUUUACAUGUAUUAACCUUCAUUACAAGCUUUACGUUGAAAUGUCUAUUACUGGCAAGCACUGGAUGUAAUGACUUGUAUGAAAUUAUAUAAUAAACCUUUC